UCUACGCUUCUACGCUUAACGAUAGCCAGCUUAGAUGCGCGCAGUCUGACGUCACCGGCAUAUUCUCUCAUUUUAUGGACUCUACGCUAUUGCCAAAAACUACUAAGGGUAAUGAAAAUUCUAAUCCUGACACAGAACCCAUUAAUGAUCUUUUUCUUCAACUCUUAAAAGAAUUAACUCAAAGAUUUAAGGAAAAAUUGGAUGAAAUUUAUGUUAAAUUUGAUAAGAAUCUAUUUGAAUUGGUUGAAGAAGAUUUGCCUAUCACACCCGUCAUUCUUCAUAUACAAAAUGAAUAGUGUUACAUGUUUAGUUCAACUACUUCUCAAGAGAUGAUGAGAUGUCACACCGGCAUAUUUAAAAAAAAAACAUUGCGCUGCUCAACAAAACCGUUGCAGUUCAGCUUAACACUAGCUCUCAACAGGAAAGGACGGUCCGCUUUGAGCAAAACUGUAACAUUUCUAUUUGGUGCAAAU